CAAAAUUACAAUAUUUAAAAAUUACAAUAAAAACACCCAAGUAAACCUACGAUCUAGCUUCUUAUUUGUUUUAACAAAACGCCAGAAUCUCUGUAGCUUGUAGAAUUUCCGCUAGACUUGAUUUCAUAUUUUCACGCACAUUAUUAAUGAGAUUUAUUUUCAAUAUAACUACUAGCUUCUAAAAGCUCUCAAAAUAAUGAUUACUUUAAUAAGAUAAAGUGUUUGUGUUAUUAAUCAAUAUAGUACUAUUAAACUAAAAUCAUAAUGAAGCUUAGAAAUACACACAUUAAUCACUAGAAGAUGAUACAUGUGUUUUAAUUAGAUAUUUUUUUCCUCUAGCUUUAAAACUUAUUUAGUCGCGGUUGAAAUUGUAAAUUUACAAAGAGUGAUUUUAUAAGAAUUUUAGUGGGUGCCACUAGCUCUGCUCUUUUUAAAAAAUAUUUUACAUGCAUGAUCUAUUUAGACCAGAUUGAGGUCUUCUAGGCCUUUUAAAAUUUGACCUAAUAUUCAUGAUUUAAUGGAAGGCUGUAGCUAUUAAGCCCUGAUUUUAUAUCUCAUUAAGUUCCAUUCUUAAAUACAGACUAUUAAAAAAAAAUCCUUAUUAUUUCUAGUUAUUUUCAUACUCCAAUUUAUAACUUUUCAUUUAUAUUAUUUAAACAUAUCAUUCUUAUCUCUAAUUCCCCUAUGUUAGUCAUUAUGUUUAAUGGCUCUCAUUUCCUUAAAAAUUUAAUAUCUCUCUUUUUAUCAUAAAGAAAGAAAAUUUCUUCUCCAAUUAUAGUUUGAUCAAGUUGAAAAAAAUUUGAAUUUCCAUGCGAAAUCACCCUAAGUCGUUGAUUCUUAAUAGACUUGGACGCAACUGCUACUGACAUGCCACUGCCAUUCUUUGCUUUUGUCAUCAUCCCCUAAAAUUCUUUAGUUGUUGUUAUUACAAACAAAUAAGCUGCUGUGCUUUGUGUUUGCUGCUGCUAGUAAUCUCUGUUUCAGCUUAUCUUCGGUUUCUUUAUGUCUUCUUGGCUUUUUGACUUCUUUAUGGCUUCUUGCUUGUCUUCUGUUUCAGCUUAUCUUCGGUUUCUUUAUGUCUUCUUGGCUUUUUGACUUCUUUAUGGCUUCUUGCUUGUCUUCUGUUUCAGCUCUUCUUUCUUGCGCUUGUCUUCCUACUUGCUCUGCUUUCUUCUUUCUUGCUCUGCUUCUAUAUUCCCC
rnacentral:lncRNA from 1 species